rnacentral:rRNA from 1 species
ACGGCCGCGGUACCCUAACCGUGCGAAGGUAGCAUAAUCACUUGUUCUUUAAAUGAGGACUCGUAUCAACGGCAUCACGAGGAUCCUACUGUCUCCCCCCUCUAAUCGGUGAAACUGAUCUCUCCGUGAAGAAGCGGAGAUGUACAUAUAAGACGAGAAGACCCCAUGGAGCUUUAAACCCAACAACACCCGCCCCCCUCCAAAUCCUAUUAUUUACCCGGUGAUUGUUUGUUUGGUUUUAGGUUGGGGUGACCGCGGAGUAUAAGAUAUCCUCCAUGAAAAAAAGCUAACUGCCCUUAUUAGAGAAAGACACUUCCAAAAAAUAAUAAAUUAAUUUUAAAUGAUCCGACAUUCGAUCAACGAACCAAGUUACCCUGGGGAUAACAGCGCAAUCCGUCCCGAGAGCCCCUAUCGACAGGCGGGUUUACGACCUCGAUGUUGGAUCAGGGUAUCCCAGUGGUGCAGCAGCUACUAAAGGUUCGUUUGUUCA